GCAGCAUUCCUGUCAGUCAGCGUUACAAUCCCAGAGGAGAGAGAUGUGCAUGAGAUCAACCUGGCUUGUGAAGUUGCUUGCUGUACUGAUAUUUGAUGUUUCACACAGGGAAUAAACUCCGGCUGGCAAAGUGAGCAGUUGUCCACGACUCCUUCAACCAUUCAAACACAACGCAGAGUUCGGUAGCAGGGUCAGGCCAGACUGGUUACACAUACAGUGGGGCAAAAAGUAUUUAGUCAGCCACCAAUUGUGCAAGUUCUCCCAUUUAAAAAGAUGAGAGAGGCCUGUAAUUUUCGUCAUAGGUACACUUCCACUAUGAGAGACAAAAUGGGGGAAACAAUCCAGAAAAUCACAUUGUAGGAUUUUUAAUGAAUUAAUUGGUAAAUUCCUCGGUAAAAUAAGUAUUUGGUCACCUACAAACAAGCAAGAUUUCUGUCUCUCACAGACCUGUAACUUCUUCUUUAAGAGGCUCCACUGUCCUCCACUCGUUACCUGUAUUAAUGGCACCUUUUUGAACUCGUUAUCAGUAUAAAAGACACCUGUCCACAACCUCAAACACUCAUACUCCAAACUCCACUAUGGCCAAGACCAAAGAGCUGUCAAAGGAGACCAGAGACAAAAUUGUAGACCUGCACCAGGCUGGGAAAAGUGAAUCUGCAAUAGGUAAGCAGCUUGGUGUGAAGAAACCAACUGUGGGAGCAAUUAUUAGAAAAUGGAAGACAUACAAGACCACUGCUAAUCUCCCUCGAUCUGGGGCUCCACGCAAGAUCUCACCCCGUGGGGUCAAAAUGAUCACAAGAACGGUGAGCAAAAAUCCCAGAACCACACGGGGGGACCUAGUGAAUGACCUGCAGAGAGCUGGGACCCAAGUAACAGAGGCUACCAUCAGUAACACACUACGCCGCCAGGGACUUAAAUCCUGCAGUUCCAGACGUGUCCCCCUGCUUAAGCCAGUACAUGUCCAGGCCCGUCUGAAGUUUGCUAGAGGGCAUUUGGAUGAUCCAGAAGAGGAUUGGGAGAAUGUCAUAUGGUCAGAUGAAACCAAAAUAGAACUUUUUGGUAAAAACUCAACUCGUCGUGUUUGGAGGAGAAAGAAUGCAGAGUUGCAUCCAAAGAACACCAUACCUACUGUGAAGCAUGGGGGUGGAAACAUCAUGCUUUGGGGCUGCUUUUCUGCAAAGGGACCAGGACGACUGAUCCGUGUAAAGGAAAGAAUGAAUGGGGCCAUGUAUCGUGAGAUUUUGAGUGAAAACCUCCUUCCAUCAGCAAGGGCACUAAAGAUGAAGGGUGGCUGGGUCUUUCAGCAUGACAAUGAUCCCAAACACACUGCCAGGGCAACGAAGGAGUGGCUUCGUAAGAAGCAUUUCAAGGUCCUGGAGUGGCCUAGCCAGUCUCCAGAUCUCAAGCCCAUAGAAAAUCUUUGGAGGGAGUUGAAAGUCCGUGUUGCCCAGCGACAGCCCCAAAACAUCACUGCUUUAGAGGAGAUCUGCAUGGAGGAAUGGGCCCAAAUACCAGCAACAGUGUGUGGAAACCUUGUGAAGACUUACAGAAAACGUUUGACCUCUGUCAUUGCCAACAAAGGGUAUAUAACAAAGUAUUGAGAUUAACUUUUGUUAUUGACCAAAUACUUAUUUUCCACAAUAAUUUGAAAAGAAAUUCUUUAAAAAUCAGACAGGCCUCUCUCAUCUUUUUAAAUGGGAGAACUUGUACAAUUGGUGGCUGACUAAAUACUUUUUUACCCCACUGUACAUACACACACACACACACACACACGCACACAAUACUUUCUUGACAACGAGAGUGCAGUAACUAUAUAUGCUCCUCCAGAUUGUACAUGUUCUCUUGUGCAAAUAAUCAUUUCUCAAUAAAAAAAUUUGGCUAGCUAUUUUCAGAACAUGUUUAACAAAUGAUUCUAAUCCCCAGUAAAAUGACGCCUAUGUCUAUAAAGUAUCGCUAUUGAAUACACAAUAAUACAAUUAUGAUUAUAAUAUAAUUAUAAACAUUUAAAAUAUGAUCAUUGAACAAUAGGCAGAGUAGAUACCAUAUUCUUAUUGUACUUACUUUUUUAUAUAUUUUGAAUUUGUUAACAUUUAUUUUUUAGGUUUUUUUUAAAUAUCUUUUGACUUAUCAUUUAUUUACUUGUUCCUUUUUUCAAACUUAAUUCCUUAUGUUUAUGAAUGCAUCCUUAUAUAUAUUCCUCAUAUAUGUAAGCCUACUUGGUAAUAAACCUAAUUCUGAUCCUCAUUAAGUUACAUUAAUACUGUAUUAAUGUUUAUAUUACUGUUUACGGCCUAAUUUACAUCUAGUGAAUAGGUGAGGAAUAGCAGUCAUAUAAACACAAAGAGUGAGUCGUGGAAUCUCAAGAAAUCCCUGAAGGACACCGAGGAAGUGGAAGACACAUUCAGAAGAUUUAAGAUUGAACGGAUCAGGAACCAUGAUGGCAGAGAGUCCAACGUAACACCGAGUAAAAUAAUGCCGUAAGGAUUUACUGUGCUCGUUAUAUGAAUAUGAAUGAAUGUUGGGAAUCGACUUGUUUACCUGUUACUUCGGACCAUGCUGAUCCAGUUUGAUUUCAGCUGCAUCACUUUUAAUAUUGUACCUAUAUAAGGCCUUAAAAAUGGUCAGAACCUGUUAUUAUUCUAUCCAUGCACUUGCAAUUUGGAGGAAAUAAAUUAAGAUAAUCAAA